AACAAUUUGUCUUUUUUUUGUGGCUUUUAGGCGUCUAUGCAUGGAUUGGAAUCAACUUCGUCCUCGGAAGGUUUAACCAUGUGCAUAUCAAUGGGGAAGCUGUAGUUGAGGUGAAUGUCAGCGAGCAGCAGGAGGCGCUGGUGAGGAAAAGGACCGCCGGAGUCCUGGACAUGGGCGGGGUCUCCACACAGAUCGCAUACGAAGUGCCCAAAACUGAGGAAGUUGCCAAGAACUUACUGGCCGAGUUUAACUUAGGCUGUGACGCACAUCGCACAGAGCAUGUUUAUCGUGUUUAUGUGUCCACCUUCCUGGGGUUCGGAGGAAAUGCAGCCCGCCAAAGAUAUGAGGAGAGUGUCAUCAAAAAUACUGCCACCCGAAACAAGUGAGACCUAUAGUCAGAUCAUUGCUUGUAAAUAUC